rnacentral:rRNA from 1 species
CCUACGGGUGGCAGCAGUGAGGAAUCUUGGUCAAUGGCCGGAAGGCUGAACCAGCCAUGCCGCGUGAAGGUCAGUGCCCUAUGGGCGUUAAACUUCUUUUGUGAGGGAGCAAGAAUGGUAACGUGUGGCCAGACGAGAGAACCGUUCGAUAAAGCAUCGGCUAACGCCGUGCCAGCAGCCGCGGUAAUACAAGGGAUGGAAGCGUUAUCAGGAGUGGUUGGGGUUAAAGGGUGAGUAGGCUGUGAGGUAAGUCAGCGGUGAAAUGCCACCGCUCAACGGGGUGAAGUGCCAUUGAUACUGCCUUGCUGGAGUGCUGAUGACGUGGGAGGAAUGUGUGGUGUAGCGGUGAAAUGCAUAGAUAUCACACAGAACACCGAUUGCGAAGGCGUCUCACGAGUCCGCGAUUGACGCUGAUGUACGAAAGCGUGGGUAUCAAACAGGAUUAGAUACCCGUGUAGUC